ACACGUGGGCAACCUGCCCUUGAGACUGGGAUAACUUCGGGAAACCGGAGCUAAUACCGGAUAAUAUAAGGAACCUCCUGGUUCCUUAUUGAAAGAUGGUUUCGGCUAUCACUUAAGGAUGGGCCCGCGGCGCAUUAGCUAGUUGGUGAGGUAACGGCUCACCAAGGCGACGAUGCGUAGCCNACCUGAGAGGGUGAUCGGCCACACUGGGACUGAGACACGNNCNANANUCCUACGGGAGGCAGCAGUAGGGAAUCUUCCACAAUGGACGAAAGUCUGAUGGAGCAACGCCGCGNNAGUGAUGAAGGCCUUCGGGUCGUAAAGCUCUGUUGUUAGGGAAGAACAAGUGCGAGAGUAACUGCUCGCACCUUGACGGUNCCUAACCAGAAAGCCACGGCUAACUACGNGCCAGCAGCCGCGGUAAUACGUAGGUGGCAAGCGUUAUCCGGAAUUAUUGGGCGUAAAAGCGCGCGCAGGUGGUUUCUUAAGUCUUGAUGUGAAAGCCCACGGCUCAACCGUGNAGGGNCAUUGNAAACUGGGGAACUUUGAGUGCAGAAGAGNNAAGUGGAAUUCCAAGUGUAGCGGUGAAAUGCGUAGAGAUUUGNAGGAACACCA
rnacentral:rRNA from 1 species